GGCGAGUGAAGCGGCAAAAGCUCAAAUUUGAAAUCUGGCACCUUCGGUGUCCGAGUUGUAAUUUGAAGAAGGUAACUUUGGAGUUGGCUCUUGUCUAUGUUCCUUGGAACAGGACGUCACAGAGGGUGAGAAUCCCGUGCGAUGAGAUGCCCAAUUCUAUGUAAAGUGCUUUCGAAGAGUCGAGUUGUUUGGGAAUGCAGCUCUAAGUGGGUGGUAAAUUCCAUCUAAAGCUAAAUAUUGGCGAGAGACCGAUAGCGAACAAGUACAGUGAUGGAAAGAUGAAAAGAACUUUGAAAAGAGAGUGAAAAAGUACGUGAAAUUGUUGAAAGGGAAGGGCUUGAGAUCAGACUUGGUAUUUUGCGAUCCUUUCCUUCUUGGUUGGGUUCCUCGCAGCUUACUGGGCCAGCAUCGGUUUGGAUGGUAGGAUAAUGACUAAGGAAUGUGGCUCUACUUCGGUGGAGUGUUAUAGCCUUGGUUGAUACUGCCUGUCUAGACCGAGGACUGCGUCUUUUGACUAGGA
rnacentral:rRNA from 1 species